rnacentral:lncRNA from 1 species
UUCGAUCCGUCUGCCCCGUCGCUGGAUGCAUGCGAGAGUUGCGGCUUGAUUUAUCAGAAACUGGGGAGAAGGGGGUUUGUGUAAAACUGAAUCGUUUUUCCCAUUUAAAUUGGUAGUGCGGGUUGAAUAUGUACAAUGUCAGGGGCUUUUCUGCAAAACAGUCACGACGGACAGAAACCGUAUUUGCUUUAUUAUUAGGGAGAGACAUGCUACACCGUGUGCAUCUGGUAUAAAUGUUUCCGAGUCUGUCUGGGAAAAUUACCGACAAUAUCGAUAAUUCAAUUCUAAGCUUGGACUCAUCUACACCGGGACCUGAUAAUAUCUACCACUCUGUCUCAUGAUGUAAGACGUUUUCUAACACUACACUAGUGUCAGAAAAUGUCUUACAUUAUGGAACGGAUGGAGUUGUAUAUCACUCACGAACUAUAUUGUAAGUUUUCACAGGCUCCUGAUAAAAGUACUGGUAGGUUUUCACUUAGCUAGACUCCUGAUAAAAGUGAUGGUAGGUUUUCACUUAGCUGGACUCUUGAUAAAAGUAUUGGUAGAAAGAAGUCAA